CAGAUGAAUAUUUAUCUUGGAUUUCAUCGAAUUCUUCAUUGAUUUAUUCGUUCUUCGAUUUCGGGUAUCUCAGGCAAGUCCAACACCUUUGAUCAACUCUUGUUAUAUUUUUAUAAUUGCAAUCUAUAUGUAUCACCUUGCAUUAAAUUAUAUUUUCUAUAAUUGAAAUAAAUAUGCUGAUGGAUUGGAUUGACUGGUGGAGCAGUCGGUCAUAUUAUAGAUGUAUUCUGAACCUGCUAUGGUGGUGGGGUUUCGGUUGCACAUAUUUAUCAUCAUAAGGUUAAAUAAUAACUGUUAUAUGGCAUUCAAGCGUCGUAGCGAUCGUGUCGACCAUAUGACCUGGAAUGGGACAUGCUGGCUUAGUAGUUCUUUCUUAAUGGUUUUAUCCUGCGGCUUAAGGACUUCCGCGAAUCCUGUGAGCGUGGGCUAGCGAUGAGGGUUGCCGUUGUUGCGGAAUCCGAUUAGAUGAUGUGGAUCGCCGUUGUUGCGGGAUCCGAUGAUUCGCCGUUGUUGCGGGAAUCACCCGCAGAGAUUAUUGCCAGAUGGGAUUGAUGAAAAGCUUGUGACCUUAGCCUUGCCGGCAUACACCAUGAAGUGUGCUUCAAGCGCCGACGGGCGUGGGCAUUAAAAGGUUUAAGGCGUCUGUGGGUACAGCGACACACCUCUGCAGAGUGUAUGAAUUGUGAUAUGUCACUCCCUGUUUCGGGUAGAAACUGCGAACACGGCAGGAAAGGAACCUAUCGGAGGUUCUAAUACCUGUGGUGCCUUAUAUACAGUAGAUUUUAUAAUUACUUAAUAUGAGUUUUUACAACACUGUUUUAUGAACAUGCAUAAAAUUCCUUGUUGGAUUAUGGUGGCUUUGGACAUAUAUGUAUUAUACAGGUGGAUUAUGGGCAUGUAUUUGUUGGAUUGCUGUAGUUGGACUUGUUGAGUACCAUUCGUACUCAUCCCCUAUAUAUAUUAUUCCUUGUAGUGUUGAGCUAACAAUUAGGUGGAGAAAUGUUCUACAUGAUUGAUCAAGAUCAAAGCAAAGAAUCGUUCCAUAUUUCUACAUCAACUGAGAGUUGAAGGUGACGAAGGUAUAGAGUAGCAAGGUACUGUUAGUGCUUAUUUUGACAAAAAGUUAUUUUUUUAUGGUUUUAUUUAAUGGGUUUCGCUACAAUUGUUUCUGCUAUGCUACUCUGGUGUGCCCAUUUCUCGGUAAGUUAAUUCUUACUAAGGAAUGAGCCGUAGACCGGUAUUCUACCUCGGAAGUGGAAUACGAGGGUCGCUACAUUCCUCUAAAUUUUUUAUUCAAUGGCUUGGACUAUUUACAUGUGAGCUAUUUUUUCUUAGUCAUUGUAUAUCUAAUUUGGUUUUGCGUGUUUGUAAAAAUAAUAUAUGAUAGUGCAACCUGUGUUGUUGAAUUGUUUCAUCGUUUUUUAUCAUUUGGAUGACAUGCAAAAGUAGAAGGGUGUUUUCCAUCAACAAAAAUUAAUGUUUCAUACUUGGAUUUAUAAUUUUUUUUGCAUAAAAUUCGUAGAGUUUAGCCAUGUAUGUUUGUAUACUGGCGUAUAAUGACGUAAUAUAUGUUGACAACUUAUUAUAAUAUUUUGGUGCUAUUUGGAUUACACGCCAAGUGCAUGGGUCAACUAUGCCCAAAUUUUAUAUUUCUUAUAUGGUAUAAUAUAGGCACAUGAACCUUAUAUUACUGGUUUGACUCCAACAAUUGAAUUAGAAAUCAGACGUAUAACUUAUAAUUGUAAUUAUUGAUUGUUUCUUACAGUUUGAUAGCUAAAACAAAUGAGGCCAGGAAUGAAGAGCAUAGGCUCCAGCCACAGAGGGAAAAGAAAGGUUGAGGAGUGCUUUGCGCAGAUUGGGGGGACUCUCUUUUUCUAAAUGAUUUAGUUGAUGACCAAAUGUUUUUUUUCUCAGAUUACUAUAUUUGUUUUUUAAUUUUUAAGGCGUGACAUAUCACAGGUUAUGAUUUUUCAAUAAGUAGAUUUAAUGGCUGAAAAAAAAUUUAAGUGAAAACCGAUGAUAAGAUGUUUUGUGCUUUCCUUUUAAUUUCUAAGUUUUUUCUAAUUUUCAAAUGUGACAUAUGGUGACUUAAUAGCGCUAUGACACAUAGUGACUCCAUAUUUUUCUAAUUUAUACUCCCUCCAUUUAGUCACAUUUCAGAAAAUCGAUUUUACAGUUUUGAUCAUCCCAUUUGUGUCGGUCUUCUUGGUUCCCACACGCGCGUCGAUUAAGUUUUCUCGCGGAGUUAAUUCGCCCUCAAGAGAUCAAUCGCUCCUUCCUUUUCUACCGUGCGAGGCAACAGAUUCGUUUUUCACCACGCGGCAACCGCCUCCUAUUUGUUUAUCGCGGUCGCA
rnacentral:lncRNA from 1 species